GUUUUUGGUUUAUGUUCAACCCAUGAACGGUUAACGGUUUUAACUAACUAAAUGAAGAGAGAGAAGCGAAAUACCCUUUAAAAGGAAGGGAUACCAAGGUCUCCUCUUUCCCUAUUUCUUAACGGAAAUGUGAUAUGGCCGUUCAUGUUUCAGGCCGCAGUGAAAUCCUUUCCCUCCAUUUCUGCUCAAAACCCAACCAAGGAAUUGUCUUCUCUCUUCAACCUCACCAAAACAACUGCCCUCCUCAAGCAAUUACAUGGACAGCUGAUUGUAAACGGACUCCAUCGACUUGUUUUCUUUGGUUCGAAGAUCGCCGAUGCUUAUAUUGAAUUGGGUUACCUGGAAAAUGCCUCCAAAGCAUUUGAUCAGAUUCCUUAUAAGAAUCCACGUUCAUGGAACACGAUCGUCGCUGGAUAUUCGAAACACUGCUGCUUUUCUGAUGUUCUGCAGCUUUAUAAACGGCUACGGAGCGAGAGCUCUCCGGUUGACAGCUUUAAUUUGGUGUUCGCAAUCAAAGCUUGCCUGGGUUUGUCUCUUUUAAGAGGAGGGAAGUCUGUUCAUUCUGAAGCCAUCAAAUCGGGACUAGACACUGAUGCUUAUGUCGCACCUGCGCUCUUGAACAUGUAUGUUGAAUUGGGUACCUUGGAAGAGGCCCAGAAGGUUUUCAGCAAUAUUUCUGAGAGAAAUUCAGUCAUUUGGGGUGCUAUGAUGAGAGGGUAUUUGAAGUUCUCAAAAGAAUCUGAAGUUUUUGAGCUGUUUCCUCAGAUGAUUAACAAUGGUUUUCAAUUGGAUCCUUUUUCGGUGGAAGGGUUAAUCAGAGCGUGUGGAAAUACUUGUGCUGGUAAAGAUGGAAUGGCACUUCAUGGGUAUUGUAUUAAACAAAGUUUCAUGGAUUCAAACUAUUGUCUACAGACGUCCAUUAUAGAUAUGUAUACAAAGUGUGGCUUGCUCGACUGUGCACUCAAUUUUUUCAAAGAAAUUCCAGACAAGGAUGUUGUUCUAUGGAGCACAAUGAUUGCAGGAUUUGCCAAAAAUGGCGGACCAUUGCAUGCAAUUUCUCUUUUCCAAGAUAUGUUGGAAAAGGCAGUGGUGCUGAAUGUGAUUACAUUUUCUAGUGUUCUUCUUGCUUGCUCACAGUUGGGUGCUCUGCAACAUGGAAAGACUGUUCAUGGCUAUGUGAUUAGAAAUGGGUUUGAAUUGGAUGUAGUAACUUAUACUGCUUUCAUUGAUAUGUAUGCUAAAUGCGGUUCCAUUGGGAUGGCCUACAAAGUGUUCGAUUGGAUGCCUGAAAGAAAUGUAUAUUCUUGGAGUGCAAUGAUCAAUGGGUUUGGAAUACAUGGUUUAUAUUCCGAAGCAAUCACUCUUUUUUCUCGCAUGGUAUCUGAGAAUUGCAUACCCAAUUCCAUAACUUUUGUUUCAGUCCUGUCAGCUUGCAGUCAUUCUGGUAAGGUUGAAGAAGGAUUGUUUUAUUUUGAAUCAAUGAGCAGGGACUUUGGUAUUGCUCCAACAGAGGAUCAUUAUGCAUGCAUCGUCGACCUAUUAGGCAGGGCAGGGAAAAUUGAAGAAGCAAAACUGCUGAUUGAUAAUAUGUCAACAAAGCCUGGUUGUAGUAUUUGGGGAGCUCUACUAAGUGCUUGUAGAAUUCACAAACGAGUUGAAUUAGCUGAAGAAGUGGCUGAAAGGCUACUUAUCUUGGAGCCUGAUCAGCCAGGCACAUUCAUAUUGCUUUCUAAUAUAUAUUCAACUGCUGGAAUGUGGGAGAGAGUAAAGAAGAUGAGACUAUUGAUGACCGAAGAUAGACUUAAGAAGACUGUCGGGUUUAGCUCCAUUGAAGUUGAAAAGAAGGUCCACAUAUUUAGUGCCAACGAUAAACUGGCAUGUAGGAACACAGAAAUCGAGCAAAUUUGGAGUUCCCUACAAAGAACAAAUGAAGGCACUGGGUUACAUUGUCCUUCAUGAUGUGGAUGAUUUGUGGUCAGCUGAAAUGCUGGUAAAUUGCAUUUGGGUUCUGAAUACUGCAGUUUAAAUGCUAAUUAGGCUUAUAAAGAAUUUGAGGUUCUGUGGUAAUUAUCAGACUGCAAGCCACUUUAUUUCUUUCAUAAAUCAAAUAGGUGAUUAUUAUGAGGGAUAAUACCUGUCAUAGAUGGUUUUUUGUUCUUGUUGUGCUUGGAGACUGUCAGUUAAUAGCUCUAAAUGGAUGAGAGAUUUGUCAACCAUUUGAUUGGAAAUACUGAAAGCAAAAGCUACUAGAUCUGCUUGAGGGAUUAGGUUCUGGAUUUGAUGAUGAGUCCCUGCUCAUGUCACGAAUGAGCCUCGUGAUUUUUCUAGCUGAUGCAUUGGACCGAUUGUAAUUUAGUGCAUGCAAUGCAGUUAGAAGCUCCAAAGUUCCGGCCAAGAGAGGUGGUAAAACAUGUACUCCUCCAGACUGCAGCAACAUCAUUACAAAAGAUUUUGACCUUGGAAGGACAUGUAACAAAUGAUGUUCAUGUAGCAAAGAGGACAACAACAGUAGUGGGUUGAUUGAAGUAUUGUGUAAUAUAUUGAAUGUGUAAUGAAAACAAAUGAAAUUUUAUGUCUGUAUAAUAUUUUUGAAAGUAAAAUGAAAGCAAUGGAUUCUUA